rnacentral:rRNA from 1 species
UACGAAGGGGGCGAGCGUUGUUCGGAUUUACUGGGCGUAAAGGGCGCGCAGGCGGCUAGUUUUGUCGAGUGUGAAAGCCCCGGGCUUAACCUGGGAACUGCGCUCGAAACGGGCUGGCUAGAGAUCGGGAGAGGAGAGUGGAAUUCCCAGUGUAGAGGUGAAAUUCGUAGAUAUUGGGAGGAACACCGGUGGCGAAGGCGGCGACCUGGGUCGAGACUGACGCUGAGGCGCGAAAGCGUGGGGAGCAAACAGG